rnacentral:rRNA from 1 species
AUUGAACGCUGGCGGCAUGCCUUACACAUGCAAGUCGAACGGCAGCACGGGAGCAAUCCUGGUGGCGAGUGGCGAACGGGUGAGUAAUAUAUCGGAACGUGCCCAGUCGUGGGGAUAACGUAGCGAAAGCUACGCUAAUACCGCAUACGAUCUAUGGAUGAAAGCGGGGGAUCGCAAGACCUCGCGCGAUUGGAGCGGCCGAUAUCAGAUUAGGUAGUUGGUGAGGUAAAGGCUCACCAAGCCGACGAUCUGUAGCUGGUCUGAGAGGACGACAGCCACACUGGGACUGAGACACGGCCAGACUCCUACGGGAGGCAGCAGUGGGGAAUUUUGGACAAUGGCGCAAGCCUGAUCCAGCAAAUGCCGCGUGCAGGAUGAAGGCC